rnacentral:rRNA from 1 species
GUGGGGAAUAUUGGACAAUGGGCGAAAGCCUGAUCCAGCCAUGCCGCGUGUGUGAAGAAGGUCUUCGGAUUGUAAAGCACUUUAAGUUGGGAGGAAGGGCAGUAAGCUAAUACCUUGCUGUUUUGACGUUACCGACAGAAUAAGCACCGGCUAACUUCGUGCCAGCAGCCGCGGUAAUACGAAGGGUGCAAGCGUUAAUCGGAAUUACUGGGCGUAAAGCGCGCGUAGGUGGUUCAGCAAGUUGGAGGUGAAAUCCCCGGGCUCAACCUGGGAACUGCCUCCAAAACUACUGAGCUAGAGUACGGUAGAGGGUAGUGGAAUUUCCUGUGUAGCGGUGAAAUGCGUAGAUAUAGGAAGGAACACCAGUGGCGAAGGCGACUACCUGGACUGAUACUGACACUGAGGUGCGAAAGCGUGGGGAGCAAACAGGAUUAGAUACCCGGGUAGUCC